UACAGAGGGUGCAAGCGUUGUCCGGAAUUAUUGGGCGUAAGGAGCUCGUAGGCGGUUCGUCACGUCGGCUGUGAAAACCUGAGGCUCAACCUCAGGCCUGCAGUCGAUACGGGCGGACUUGAGUACUGCAGGGGAGACUGGAAUUCCUGGUGUAGCGGUGAAAUGCGCAGAUAUCAGGAGGAACACCGGUGGCGAAGGCGGGUCUCUGGGCAGUAACUGACGCUGAGGAGCGAAAGCGUGGGGAGCGAACAGG
rnacentral:rRNA from 1 species